GUUUGAUCCUGGCUCAGAAUGAACGUUGGCGGCGUGGAUUAGGCAUGCAAGUCGCGCGAGAAAUCAAUUAGCUUGCUAAGAGAUGGACAGCGGCGAAAGGGAGAGUAAUACGUAGAAAUCUACCCCUUGGUCUGGGAUAGCGUCGGGAAACUGACGGUAAUACCAGAUAAAGUUUUCGAACCAAAGGUGUGAUUCCGCCGGGGGAUGAGUCUACGUGCUAUUAGCUAGUUGGUGAGGUAAUGGCCCACCAAGGCAACGAUGGCUAGCGGGUGUGAGAGCAUGACCCGCCUCACUGGGACUGAGACACUGCCCAGACACCUACGGGUGGCUGCAGUCGAGAAUCUUUGUCAAUGGACGAAAGUCUGAACAAGCGACGCCGCGUGCGGGAUGAAGGCCUUCGGGUUGUAAACCGCUGUCGUAGGGGAACAAAUGUAUGAAGGUCAUCCUUUUUACUUGAGUGAUCCUAGGAGGAAGGACGGGCUAAGUUCGUGCCAGCAGCCGCGGUAAGACGAACCGUCCAAACGUUAUUCGGUAUCACUGGGCUUAAAGAGUUCGUAGGCGGCUAUGUAGGUCAGGUGUGAAAUCCCACAGCUCAACUGUGGAACUGCGCUUGAAACCACGUGGCUUGAGGGAGAUAGAGGUGAGCGGAACAGAUGGUGGAGCGGUGAAAUGCGUUGAUAUCAUCAGGAACACCGGUGGCGAAAGCGGCUCACUGGAUCUCUUCUGACGCUGAGGAACGAAAGCUAGGGUAGCGAACGGGAUUAGAUACCCCGGUAGUCCUAGCCGUAAACGAUGAGCACUAGUCCGUGGGAACUUCCACAUUUUCUCGGACGUAGCGAAAGUGUUAAGUGCUCCGCCUGGGGAGUAUGGUCGCAA
rnacentral:rRNA from 1 species